GAGACUGAGAGGCGAAAGGAAGGGAAUCAGUAGUGGAGUUUACUCCUGUGAGACCACUUCAUUAUUCUCUGUAAGUCAUUUACUGGAAAACAUGGACGGUGGACAUCAAAUCAUGACAUUUCUUUGAGAUGUACAGCAGCCGGGAGUUAUAUCGUGCUGGAGAUCAUCACAUUUGUCCAAACGAAAUGAAUGUUUCCUGUUAAGAUGCUGAAUGACAAGGACAGUGUGGGAAAGCAGGAUUUGAACAGCCACAUAUUUUAACCUAUAUUUAAGGGGCAAUGAGUUCCUCAUUUUUUUGUUGGUGCAUCUGCACAUGACAGUGAC
rnacentral:lncRNA from 1 species